AAUUGGUGGAACGAUUGCAUGGCUUUUUUUUCCCUUUUUUUCUUUUUAUUCUUCUUCUUCUUCUUUUUCUUCAAUGGAAACAAAAUCAACCUCCCUUGUUCAGAUUGGAGGUGCUGCUACUUGUUAGAUUGAAUUGAGUUGGAAUAGAUCUUGAUUGUUAGAU
rnacentral:ribozyme from 13 species